UGCGUAGGGCGCAAGCGUUGUCCGGAAUUAUUGGGCGUAAAGAGCUCGUAGGCGGUUUGUCGCGUCUGCUGUGAAAACUCGGGGCUUAACUCCGGGCCUGCAGUGGGUACGGGCAGACUAGAGUGCGGUAGGGGAGACUGGAAUUCCUGGUGUAGCGGUGAAAUGCGCAGAUAUCAGGAGGAACACCGGUGGCGAAGGCGGGUCUCUGGGCCGUAACUGACGCUGAGGAGCGAAAGCGUGGGGAGCGAACAGG
rnacentral:rRNA from 1 species